CGGGGCCGGACGUGAGCGAACUUCCGCGGGGCGGCGGGGUCGCCAUGGCGGCAAAAAGUCCUCCUGAUAGUACUCCAAGAAGGCCUGUUUUAUCUGUCAGUGCAAGAAAAAUUAAAGAUAAUGCAGCAGACUGGCAUAAUUUAAUGAUGAAAUGGGAGAGACUGAAUGAUAAUGGAUUUACUACAACAAACAAAAUAGUCAACAUGAGGAUCAGUGAGCAAUUUCAAGAUAACAAAUUGGAGAUAACAUGUGAUAACAGUGCCACAGAACCUGAAAAGCCAACCCCAAAAUACAAUGAAGAGCUGGACAAUUGCUGUGCAGAAUUACUUGAGACCUUAAAGCAUAUGACAAAAAUACAACUGAAAAUGGAAAAGCUUACUUCAACUACUAAAGCAAUCUGUGACUUGGAAACAUUCCACCACAGAGAUGGGAAUUGCAAGGCUCCCUUCUUUCAUACAUGGCCCACACCAUACUUCUAUGAGGUUUCUCUGAAGCUGUCUGAAAUGUACAAGAAGGAACUACAACUCAAGCAAACAAUUGUACAAGACAUUGCUCAUUGUGCUGACCAGGAUCUGAUGAUGGUGUAUUUAUCAUCGUGGCUGUACCAGCCUUACAUUGAGAACAGCAGCAUGCUGCUGCUCGAAGCCAUGCUGCUGGAAACAGGACACAGGCAGUGCUAGAGUUGCAAAGGUUACAUGGCUGGCUUCUAGUGAUGCUUAGAUGAAACUAAACUGGCAUAUUGCAAGGCUUACCAAUUGAUGAUAUUUUGGACUGUGACCAUUUUCUUCACUCGCUGGUAGGCCGGUGCUCUGCCUGGCCACUGCCUGCUCCAUCAGGGAGCUGUGGAGUUCAGGAGCUGCCGGUCCCGCCGCGCUCCCGCUCACAAAGCGCGCCUGAAGCAGCCCAGCCGAGCCACCUGCUCCCACAGGCAGCACCACCUCAGCAUGCAGCAGAGAUGCUUCACCUGCCACAUCUGGUCCCUGUAUCCCUGCAGGCUGGGGAUACUCUAUCCUCAUUUCCACAGUUUGGGAGAAGGUACCUGAAUUUUCACCAUCAAUUCGAACUCCUGAAUCAGCAAGUGAAUUAUGUUCCUCUGCUGUCUGUAAUGUACUUCCAGUUGUACAGCAAGUGAUAUGCCUAUCUUCUGAAAUCAGGAUUUCUCCAUUUAAUUGAUUAAAGCCUGAAAAGGGGAAAGAAGUAUUACUUUGUUAGGCAAUCUGAUAUUGCAUGCUAAAAAAACCUAUAUUUCAGCUAUAAUUUUGGAGGAAAAGCUAGACUACUUCCCUACUUUGCUUCCCCCAAAUUAGCAAACCUGAAGCACCUUACAGGAGUUUCAUAUACCUUUUCAAUGAGAAAGUCACUAUAAAAAUACAUGAUGAAUUGUCGAAUAGUGAUAGUUUAUCAAGUAUUUCUAUAUUAAGAGACCUUACACUUAGAGGCAGCAUUCUUCUGGUCAUCCUGAAAACAACCUGGGCUGAAAGGCAAACUCAUUUUUCUUUCAUCUGUUAUGCAGCCAGUAACAUUAAAAUAUAAAGACUGGCAGGCACAAACUUGUGAGUUUCUCAUCCUCAUCACUUUAAGUAAGUUGAUGGAAGCAUUUAAACUUCUGUUUAAAUUUCUAUUCCUAAUAAGGCUCAUCCUGGACUCGGACAUGUCAUUAUGUUACUACAUAUUAAUUAGCUGUGCUAAGAGCCCCAGCAGCACUUUUGUCCUGUACCAGAAAAGGUAAAAACCUCAAUAAAUGCAGUGUUCUA